UCCUGUUCGCGGCUUGACUACCUUUUUACCCUCGAAGAACAGAGCAUGGCGCUGAACAUGAACCCAACGUUAGUUAUCGACGCUAUGAAGUUUCCCUGGUCGUUACAGCACUGCAGUCAACAAACCACCUAUCUAACAAGUUUUCUGUUCUCUCUCACAGAUGAAGCAGGCCCAUGGUUGAAGCUGAUUGGCGAGGGGGAGAGAUCAUGUGACAGGAAGUGCAGAUGAAGCAGGCCCAUGGUUGAAGCUGAUUGGCGAGGGGGAGAGAUCAUGUGACAGGAAGUGCAGAUGAAGCAGGCCCAUGGUUGAAGCUGAUUGGCGAGGGGGAGAGAUCAUGUGACAGGAAGUGCAGGUGUGGUUCCAGAACCGUUGGGUAAAAGACCAAUGCUCAGGCGUCCCUCCGCUCCCUGGCAAGCUAAGCGCUGGCAGUCCACAGCUGGCAAGCUAAGCGCUGGCAGUCCACAGCUGGCAAGCUAAGCGCUGGCAGUCCACAGCUGGCAAGCUAAGCGCUGGCAGUCCACAGCUGGCAAGCUAAGCGCUGGCAGUCCACAGCUGGCAAGCUAAGCGCUGGCAGUCCACAGCUGCAAAAAUGAAGUUGUUUAAAAGUUCAUUAAAAUGUUCAAGAUUGUAAUGGAACCAAACUAACCUAUCCUGCCUUUUGAAUGUAUUGUAAAAGGUAAAGGCUAGCUGUGAUGGUAUACAGGGUGAUGUGUGUUAUGCUAACUAAUCAAGUUGUGUGAUUAAAUUAGUGGGUUGGGUCAAUGUCUAAAAUGCUGGCCCUGACCUCUGGGAGAUCAUGACUUCAUAACUGGAUGGAGUUGGGGCAUACAUAACUACUGUUGCCAUGUUAAAUCUAUCAUAGGUGGGAUCUUUCUGUCAGUGGAAUGACAGAAUGCUGACUCAGUGGAAUGUAAUUUUUUUGGGGGGUGUGUCCUCUUCCAACCUAACUAUUUUCCAACAAUUGUUCCACAUUGCAGCUUUAAAUACACUGUAUUAAUAUAUUUAAUAUACACUGUAAAUAUGCUGAAUAAAAGUGAGUUUCUCCAAAGGAGCAUUAUU